rnacentral:lncRNA from 1 species
UCAGAUGAGACCAUGAAGCUGUUUGGACUCUAUUUCUCUGCUGUCUGGAUAUUGUGCUGCUGCUGCUGCUGUCUUGUCUGUGGCGGAGGUCAUGGUGUGUGUGAAGACAGGAAGCUCAUUACAAGAAUCAGUUUAACAGCAGAACUGCAGUCUGAAAUCCUGCUGCCGUGCCUUUUUGAACCAGCUCUGACUGGAUCAAACCCGACCAUGAAGUUAGGUGCUGUGUGGACUCAGAUUAAUGAAACCAUUAACUACAUUGUAGAGAUCGAAGUAAAUGGUCAUGAAAGCUUCUGGAAUAACAGACGCAAUAGAAUUAAGGCAUUCAGUGCUGCCGCUGCCUCUGGAAACUUCUCCAUCCUGAUUAGAGAUGUGCAGCUGUCUGAUCUGGGUCUCUACCGCUGUGAACUCUUCAGAGACGUCAACUGUUCUCUGGGCUAUAAAGAGAUAGAAAUCAGUGCGUUUUCACUGCACAUUAACUGGCAGCUCGUAGUUGCAGGAGGAGGAGGAGGAGGAGGAGGAUUUCUGCUUCUCUUUAUGAUCACUGUGUGCGUUUACUAUACAUGGACAAAACGUGAGUCUGAUAAAUCUGCUAUGAGACCUGGUGAGUAAAUCGUAUUAGAGGUGACAUAUCAUGAAAAUCUGACUUUUCCAGGUUUUAAGUGCUAUAAUCAGGUCCCCGGUGCAUCUACCAACCAAGGAAACGAGAAAAAUAUUAACCCAGUAACUUUGUUUUGGUAGGCCUUUUUCUGCAAGCGUCUGAGAAAACGAGCGCGUCAGAUUUCGCUCCCUUGGUGACGUGGCAAAAGGGAUCUCAUUAUAAUAUAUGAGAUUAUGCGCGUUCUGCUUCCACUGAAAAUAGGAAUUUUCAAAAUGAUAUAAUAAAUUAUCUGUGUAUUUUGAGCUGAAACUUCACAGACACAUUCUGGGGACACCAUAGACAUAUAUUACAUAUUGUAAAAAGGCGCAUAAUAUGUCUCCUUUAAUAUUAUACAACAAACCAUAACAAUGUAAGAUAAUUCAUACAACACGUAUGCUACUACAAUAGAGCAAAUUAAGUGAAAGUUACAUGUUGUAAAGACAUUAUAAACAAAACAAGUAAAAGACCCGAUGUGUGAUCACAAUAUUAUUCUGGGUCAGGCUGAUUUAAUUCAAGGCACUCUAGAAUAGUUUUCAAUGCAAAACUGCUGUAGAAUGCAGAUGUGUUUAAAUCUGGAGAACAUAUUGUACAAAGCUUCAUAUCAUUAACAUUUUCUCUUAACAUCAUCUUUCAGGCCCAGCAGUUGAUGCGCUGACCUACACAACAGUUGUCUAUGAGGGAUUGCCAUGAAAGCAAGGGUGCAUUUAUAUCAUAAUUAAAUACAUUGAUACAGUAGCCUGUCAUUUAUUUACUGUGUGUAAAAUGCAUUGUUUGUAUAACAUAUAAACUCAGCUGACACCGAGACGUACCUUUAUAACAUGGCUGUGUGGGUAGGCAGGCUACAUUUCACAACACAUUUCUAAUUUCCACCCUUAUUUGCCUGAAUAAUUGAAUUAAAACUGCAAAACCAGGGCAUAUCAAUAUCAGCAGUUUUUGUGUCAUAUAUUUUAAAUGUUGCAGCUGAAUACAUGAAGUUUCAGAAUAUUUCUCAGCAUCUCUCUCUUUCUCUUUGCUCUCGUCGAGAAAAAAGCAAAAAGACUAAAUGCUCAUAGGAUCAUUUAUUCAAUAGUACUUUCUUUUUUUGAACAGUCAAGUAAACUAGAUGUUUAAUAAGACAGUGGUGGCCAAAAUGAUUAGAACACUAGUAUUUUCACCAGCUGAAAAUGGCUUUAAGUCACACUUUUGCUGUAGUGUGUCAGAAGGAAAUAUCCGGUUACAUUCUGUCUGGAAUGACAUGAAGAAACAGAACAAACUGAGACAGACUAAAUCCAGAAGAACUGUGGCAACGUCUCCAAGAUGCUUCAAGAAACCUACCUGUAAAGCUACCUGAAAAACUAUGCGCACGUGCACCGAGGGCAAAAGCUGCUUUAAACGCAAAGGAUGGUCACACCAAAUGUUGAUUUAAUGUAGUUAAUAGAAGUUAAUUAAUAAAGAAAAUCUAUUUUUGACAGCAUCCUCAUUUUACAGCAUUUUUACACAAGUGCCUAAAACGUUUAACAUUACAGGUAGGUUUCUUGAAGCAUCUUGAGAGACGUUGCCACAGUUCUUCUGGAUUUAGUCUGUCUCAGUUUGUUCUGUUUCUUCAUGUCAUUCCAGACAGACUGGAUGAUGAAGAGAUCAGAUCUCUGUGUGGAGCACUGGCUGUAGUCAGACAAAAAUCUCACUGGAUUAUUACAAUGAAUGGCAAAAUGAAUGUUUGGAAAAGUAACCGGAUAUUUCCUUCUGACACACUACAGCUAAAGGUUUUUAGCUGGUGAAAAUACUAGUGUUCUAAUCGUUUUGGCCACCACUGUAAACUAAAACUAACAUUAAUAAACAUUCCAUCAAAUGUAUGUUUAUCUUUUUUUAAAGUGCUUAAGUUCAGUUUAGAAUAUCAGGGUAUCUUUCACUGUGAACACAGAGGAACCAUUAGCAUCAAACCUCAGUGAGACAGUGCUAUUUUUAUUAGCCAGUCUGCGUACUUUUGAGUUCACAAGGUCCGAACACAGCUCACAGAUACUGUAAUGCUUUGCAAGAUGUAGGUGUGAGUGAGUAGCAUCACCUUAACCAUAAAAGCUGUAAAAGGCAAGCUGAAGUGAUGCUGCCAUGUUACUUUUUAAACCACGUCACCCUCCACAGCAUGCAGUCCCACUCAUCGGACAGUAAAAAUUCUGCAAUAACAGGAGUAGAUGAAUUGAAGUGUCAGUUUGCUGUUAGGCACUGCUCAUUUUUAUAUCAUAUUUAACUAAUUACCCUGUGAAGUCUUUUUUUUUCCUGAGAGGUGGGUCACUUAAGUCUCUCAUUCUUACCUGUCUUUCUCAACAAACCAAACAGUGUGUAUUUCAGUAUUAGGGAUACUAGUUUGGAAUAUACAACAUAGUCAGACUAGACAGCCAGAAAGUUACUUGGCUUUAUUUUAACUGCUCUAUAUAUUUGUAUCAUUUUUU